UUUUCAGUGGCGUAGCUUGCAUGUAUGCUCAGAUGCUCAAGCAUCCACAUCAUUUUGGCAAACAAUUUUUUUUUAAUAAAUGAUAUGAUUGCAUGUGUUCACAGCAGAUACAAACGGUGAUAUCCGAAUGUUACAAGGGUGAGGAUUUUAAAAUAUCGUUCAAUCAUUUACAAAGCAGUAUGCGUGGUCUUUCCCAUAGGAUCAUUUAGUGUAUUUAAACAAGAUGGAUAAAUCGCAAAAAAAGUGUUCUCUACUUUUUCGUGAAAAGUCUACGUCGUAGCUUGUCGUCGGCUGCGACAAGCAUAGAGGGUAGUUAUAACAAGUCCGCAUGUUUAGUCUGAAAUUGAGCAAGUUGACAAUUAAACCAUCAUAUCCUGAUAACGUUUCCUGUGACGCGAAAGACAACGUGAUAAAAACUGUAUUUGUAUAAUGGAGUGUUAUCAUUUCUUUGCUAAUAAAUACCUUCUCCAUCUAGUUACAAAUAUUUUAAUUUUAUUUUCAAGAAAAGAGUACCUAUGUCCCAG
rnacentral:lncRNA from 1 species